AAACUCAAUAAUAAUAAUAAUAAUUACAAUAAAAAAAAUAAAAUAAGACUCAAGUGCGCUGUCAGACAUCGCAGUAAAAAUUUCCAAAAUGUCUCUGAAAUUAAUAAAUAAAUUUUUGAUAUUAAUUAUUAUGAAAUUAAUAUUAGCAAGAGCGAAUUUUCUGAUAGAAACUCCAGAUUGGUGGGAAAUAAAUUUCGACACAACUUUAUUUAGUAAAAUAAUUUGUGACGCGGUUCUUAUAAAUCCCCAGUUAUUUUUAGCCGAAGCCGAAUGUGUGCAAAAAGGGCUUAAUUUUAGUGACAAAAAUAUUUUCGUAAAUUACCAUCAUGUAAAAAGCGUGUAUGUGAACGUCACUGAGGUGAACAAAACAAAAAUUUUCUAUAAUGAAAAUUUGACCGGAAAUUAUGACAGAUCAAAGAGAAAUAUCGCGGCAUUAAUUACCGAGCAGCCGGUCGUUUCUUUGAAUUACGCAAAGUUGUCAACGACUGCGGUGGUUCUUUCGAUAGACUACCGAUGCCUGUACACUGAAAGCCAUUUAAUAAAAUUACUGGCUUCGAAAUUAGAUAAAAUUGAUCUGGAAAAUUGUUUCGUUCCUGUAUUCAAUGGCAAUAAGAUCGACGUCAGUCCAUGUAGAUUUUUGGCUGACAAAUUGUUUUGUUCUUAUAAUCAUACUGCAUUUAGAGAAAAAAAAUUAGAAAAUAUAAAAAAAUUUGUGUUCUGUUCAAAUAAAGAAGAAAAACUUACUGAUUUAGUGAUUGGAAUUUUAUCAGAAAAAAUUCUUGAUAAUAUGAUGACAUUUAAUGACUCAGAAAUACCUUCGGAAAUUUCGAUUGAAAAUAUUUUCCGGCAUAUUCCAAUAACGAGCUGUCGUGUCUCGCGAGUCUUGUGAUUUUAUAAUAUUUUUUUUCGCAGUUUUUCAAAGUACACCAACGCAGCCGAUAAACCAAUCACGUGGAAGUAAUUGCAUACUGACGACGACGAUAUUACUUUUUCCCAUGGCAACAGUUGUUUGAGGGAAAGCCCGCGGGAAAUAACCGAGAGCUUGGAGGAAAAAGUGGCAUCGCGGAAGCUGAGUAAUAAUGACAGUUAAACGAAGAGUAAAAAACGCGCCCAUACCCGAGAACACAACAAAAC